rnacentral:rRNA from 1 species
UAAUACAGAGGUGGCAAGCGUUGUUCGGAAUUACUGGGCGUAAAGGGCGCGUAGGCGGCCUUCUUAGUCAGACGUGAAAUCCCCCGGCUUAACCUGGGAACUGCGUCUGAUACUGGAAGGCUGGAGUUCGGGAGGGGGAUGUGGAAUUCCAGGUGUAGCGGUGAAAUGCGUAGAUAUCUGGAGGAACACCGGUGGCGAAGGCGGCAUCCUGGACCGAAACUGACGCUGAGGCGCGAAAGCCAGGGGAGCAAACGG